rnacentral:rRNA from 1 species
GAUGAACGCUGGCGGCGUGCCUAAUACAUGCAAGUCGAGCGAACAGACGAGGAGCUUGCUCCUCUGACGUUAGCGGCGGACGGGUGAGUAACACGUGGAUAACCUACCUAUAAGACUGGGAUAACUUCGGGAAACCGGAGCUAAUACCGGAUAAUAUAUUGAACCGCAUGGUUCAAUAGUGAAAGACGGUUUUGCUGUCACUUAUAGAUGGAUCCGCGCCGCAUUAGCUAGUUGGUAAGGUAACGGCUUACCAAGGCGACGAUGCGUAGCCGACCUGAGAGGGUGAUCGGCCACACUGGAACUGAGACACGGUCCAGACGCCUACGGGAGGCAGCAGUAGGGAAUCUUCCGCAAUGGGCGGAAGCCUGACGGAGCAACGCCGCGUGAGUGAUGAAGGUCUUCGGAUCGUAAAACUCUGUUAUUAGGGAAGAACAAAUGUGUAAGUAACUAUGCACGUCUUGACGGUACCUAAUCAGAAAGCCACGGCUAACUACGUG